UACGGAGGUCUCGAGCGUUAGGCGGAAUCACUGGGCUUAAAGCGUGUGUAGGCGGAUCGUUAAGUACCUUGUGAAAUCCCCACGGCUUAACCGUGGAACUGCUUGGUAUACUGGCGGUCUUGAGCCAGCUAGGGGCUACCGGAACAAAUGGUGGAGCGGUGAAAUGCGUAGAUAUCAUUUGGAACGCCAAUGGUGAAAACAGGUAGCUGGGGCUGUGCUGACGCUGAGACACGAAAGCCAGGGGAGCAAACGGG
rnacentral:rRNA from 1 species